GGCACGAUGUCCGAGUCGUCAAGGAGCCGAUUUCGAAUGUCGGUGGGCUAUGCCCGCGUAGGUUCAAAUCCUGCUCGUGUCG